GGUACUCGUUUUUAUAUUUGAGAACUGACGGGGAUAGAAAGACCGAGAGAAACCUUAGGUUUCUUUGGAAAAAAAUUAAAUAAUCAUCCCUAAUAUUUCUAAGCGAAAUAGGUCCAUAAGGGUAAACAAGAUGGUCGUGGUGACAGCGGGACAUAAAGUAAUCUUGAUAUCUGGGAAACAGCAUGGCUCUCCCAGCGCAACACAGUGCUACAGACGGUCCAUUUCGGUCGUUUUGCCUUCAUCUGCGUCGAACCAAGCCAAUUCUUCCGAUUCCGACUCAAAUUCGACAACUGGGCCACCCCUGCGAAAAAGACAGAGACUCACUCAUUUGAGUCCUGAAGAAAAGCAGCUUCGCAGGAAACUGAAGAACAGAGUUGCAGCCCAGACAGCCAGAGACAGAAAAAAAGCUAAAAUGGGGGACCUGGAAGACCAAGUUCUAGCGUUGGAGUUGGAGAACAAGAAACUUCAUGUUGAGAACAGGCUUUUACAGCAAAAGACAUGUGGCUUGGUGAACGAGAAUGAGGAACUGAGACAGAGGCUGGGGUUGGAUGCCCUGGAAGCCAAAGAGGGUCAGGUGUUGGAGUCCAGUGGGAUUGAUGCAGGUUUGGGGAUCGGGUCUUCUGAGUCUGCAGUACUCAGGCUAUGUGUGCCUCCGCAGCAGGUGCAGGCCCAGCAAUGCCCAAAUCUGAAGAUUUCCCAAUGGAUACAGAUAGUCCUGACUCUACAGACUCUGAGUCUGAUCUCUUGCUGGGCAUUCUGGACAUCCUUGACCCAGAGCUGUUCCUCAAGGAGUGUAGUGAGCAGGAGAUCCAGGCGCAGGAGAUGCUGCUGGUCGGAGGGGGGGCAGGAGUACCUUCCCCCUCACCUGCAGCUCUGGGGGCCACACCAGUUAAGCUGGAGGCCCUUAAUGAACUGAUCCACUUUGACCACAUCUACACCAAGCCUGUGGAGGGGGUGGCGCUUCCCCCUGGGCAGCAGGAAGUGCAUUACGAGGAGAGUGUAACAAAGAUGGAGGAGGUCUUCUCUUUGGUUGAGGAGGUCUGCGAGGUGGUGUGUGUCAAAGACGAGCCGGAGGAAGUGGUCAUCAUCCCUGAGAGUCACGGGGUGUUGGAUGACUUCCUGUCCUCGGUCUCGCCGACCUCUGACCUGGCCCUGGGUGGCCUGGAGAAGACUGGUACCUACCUGACUGAGACCUACAGCGACUCCGGAUACGAGCGGUCCCCUUCCCCCUUCAGCGACAUGUCCUCCCCCCUCUGCUCUGAGGGAUCCUGGGAUGAUGUGUUCGCCAAUGAACUGUUCCCUCAGCUGAUCAGUGUCUGACGUGAGCCCUAUUGGCCCAAUUAAUCAAUGAUCCAACCUAUAGAUCUCCCUUAUAUUUUCAUGUAGUGUUAAGUGACUACAGUAGAUCAUGCUUUAUAUUGAUGUAUAGAUGGCAAAGUGAUAGCCUUUUCCCAGAUCUGUUUGUGCUGUUGAGCCAAUGGCUAUAUUUUGUCUUUACAGUACAAACUAAUCUGUGACCAGGCUAAUACUAGUUUACCUUGUGUUUUUAAAACUAAGUUAAGCACGUAAUCUCCUCUAUUACAGCAGGUCUGUACAAUGGGUGAUCCUGCAUUGACUUGUGGGAGAUGUAGUUCUUGACAUCUUAAUUUGGCAUCACUACUUGAUUGCUAGUGGUUUUGUAAGAUUGCUUAAUAAUCUAUCCACACAUUGUUGGGUUCCCGGGGAAAUGAAUGCAUCCAGUAUUUGUGUACAUUGUAUUUAGAUGGGGACUGAUUGCUCUAAAGACACUUAUUUAUUUGUGUAUCCUGCUCCGGCGUCUUCUGUAUGUUAUCGGUUUUAGCAUGUAGGAAUGUUUUCCUCUGUAUCAUUUUGUUGCACUCUCCUUGUUGCGCUAAAUUACUGCAUUAAAAAAAACUUUGCAUUGCA